AGAGGUUUCAAGGCCACAUGUGCAGUACAGUCUAGUGUUCAUGCUUCAGAGCACUACCAUAGCCGUUCAAGCUUCUAUUCUCAGCCCAGCCUAUGUUCCUGCUAUUCUUAGCAUAGUAAGAACGCAGUAAGCACACAGAGCUUUUUCACAUCUUGCUCCAAUAGUUUAAACAGAGGUGAGAGUUUUGACUUGGCCAAAGCAUUACUAGGGGAAUUAGGGGCACAGCAUCUCAACCUUCUUCCGAAAUGUUAGCGCCAAGAAGCCAGAGGGCCUGUCAUGUGACUUGGGAGAAUUGUUGGAGAAUUCUGGCAAAAAAGUGUUUGCUGUUGCUGCUUUUGGUCUGCAAAAGAUACGUAACUGAUUAUGUUUUUCUUAUCAUGGAGGCCUAAUUAGGGACUGUUUCCGCCCUGAACCCCAACACAACAAUCAGAAAGUGAAGGACGAGGUGGCUUCUCCCUCCAAUGUGCCAGCGUGGUGUAGUGGUUAAGAGCGGUAGACUCAUAAUCUGGUGAACUGGGUUCGCUUCCCUGCUCCUCCACAUGCAGCUGCUGGGUGACCUUGAGCUAGUCACACUUCUCUGAAGUCUCUCAGCCCCACUCACCUCACAGAGUGUUUGUUGUGGGCGAGGAAGGGAAAGGAGGAUGUUAGCCGUUUUGAGACUCCUUCGGGUAGUGAUAAAGCAGGAUAUCAAAUCCAAACUCUUCUUCCUCUUCUUCUUCUCCAUUCCAGGAUUAUCUGGAGGGGAGGGACAGCAAUAUGCACCUGACCGCCUGGCUGUGGCGUUGUUGCUGCUCACUGGGAGGGAAAGUCAAGGCAGGAGGUCCGUUGGCAUAGUGUGGGUCACCAGCAGAGUCAAUCUGGGCUUCUGCUAGUAUGCCCAUAGAAUGGCUACUUCUCCACUGCUUUGACCUUGAUUCCAAGCUGGGAAGCAGCAGUGGUGUCACAGACAGGAGACCAGAUGUGUGACGUUGCCCUUCCUUCCGGCUGCUCCUGCUCUUUCUGCAAAAGCCAACUGGACGGGUGGAUCCUCAAUCGCACCUGAAGGCUAGCUUAGGGAGGCACAAAGCAGAUGGUGUGGCACACACAGCUCUGUUCGUCAUCACCUGCCCCAUCUGCCGCCUGAGGCAGCUGUCUCCCUCUGCCUAACAGUAGGGUCAGACCUGCUUCAGAUCUUUCCAUAUUCAGUCAUAUGAAAGACUUGGUGGACUCACACACAGCUUCGGCGCCAUACUCUGCUUGUGGUGUUUGCUCGGGUCCCACAACGGGGAAGGAAGGUCUGGCUUAGGGCCUCCCUCCACUGCAAUUUACCUGGGGACCGUCAACUGUCUCUGUGGUAACAGCCACCUCUUCCUCUGUUCGUGCUAAAAUUGAAUUCUAGGAAUGAACAGAAAGCCCCGUCGCACUUCUGCUUUGCAGACAUUCUCUCUCACAUUUUCCGUUGCACGGAGAAAGCAGAACUAGACUCGCAGCACCAUUCCCAAGAUGAUAUCGCAUAGCCUUCAGAAGAAAAGGUCGCUCCCAAUGUCACUCAUUGUUGCUUUUCUUUUUAGGGCAGGAAAUUUUCAUAGCUGGCCUCUUUCACCCGCCUAAUUCCACACACAUAUCUUUUUUCUUGGAAGGGGAGGUAAGUAGUUCCCGCUUCAGAUUUUGCAGGGCCUUCUCUGAGUGGCCCCCCUCAUCACCACUCUCCAUCUGCUUACCAGCAACCAGAUGAGGCGCCUCUCUGCUCUUUUGCCUUACUCUCGUCACUGGUCACACAAGAACCCUACUUUAUGUAGACCGAGUUUGCGCAAUUGCCGGGAGUGUCUGGGAAAAACAAAACAAAACAAAGCAUGGUGUGUAUAUGUGAGCGGAAUGGCUCACUAGAGGAGGGCAUGGCUGGCUCCUUUCAGGCCUUUUGGGAAGUGAAAACGCACUGCAAACUUUUCAUUCCAGGUUCCAAUUAAAUGACCUUUAUUAGGGGUUCCCAAACUUUUUUUGCCCUGGGACACAUUAGGAAAUCUAAGCAACCAAGAAAUAGUCAGGGACACCACCAAACACCCAUUUCACAGAAUCUCUCCCCCCCCCCAGCAAUGCUCAGAAUUCUACCACAGAGAAACAACAGGCAGAACAUCUAUAUCCCACUAACAAAACACAGAAAAAAAGCAGGCAACCCCACAAAAAAGAGCAGGUAGAAAAAACAAAACAAAACCCUGAACCCUCUCAAUUAUUAAAAAAAAAGAAAAAUAAGAAUUUGGAUGGGCGAAGGACCUUUGCGGGUGUCUAAGGGCAUUACGGACAUCACAUUGGGGACCCCAGAUUUAUACAGACAUACAGUGUCUAAACCACAGAGCCUAGGGCUUGCCAAUCGGAAGGCUGGCAGUUCGAAUCCCCGCGAUGGGGUGAGCUCCUGUUGUUCGGUCCCAGCUUCUGCCCACCUAGCAGUUCAAAAGCACGUCAAGUGCAAGUAGGUAAAUAGGUACCGCUCCGGCGGGAAGGUAAACAGCAUUUCCAUGCGCUGCUCUGUUAAUUUGAUGCUGUCCCACUCCUGAUGUUCUGACCACCCCUCUGAGGAUCGCUUUGUCUUCCGUGCCAUGUCAUGUUUGUACGAGAGAAAAGCACAGGGGCAGCAGACACAACUACUACAUGGUGCACUCAGCAGGGGAAAGUUCUGCCAUGCUGCAAUACCUUAAUCUCCACCCGGUUUUGAUUUUAGCCUCAUCCACUUUUGCUGCUGGCUAUUGCUGGCAUGCACCCCUCAAUGGGAUGACCUGCAAGGGAAUGUGACCAUCAGCAAGACAAAGGAACCACUUCUUUUUUUUAAAAAAACCCCCAAAACAACUUACUGUAUUUGGCAGAGAAUGAUGGAUUUAGUUUUUAAAGGAUUAGGAGUGUUUACUUUCAUAUGGUUGUUUAAAUAAAUGGCAUUUUAAAUCAAGGACCACCACCUGGUUAAAGAAAUCUUUGCUGAUUAGUUGUAUGAGUUUUAAUCAAUUCAUCAUGAAUAAUUUUGCAAAUGAAUGUUAAUUCUGAAGGAAAAAUGUACUUUGGUUUUUGAUGUUAGGUGCUUCACAGCAAACAUUAUUUUAGAUGAAAUGUUCUUCUUAAUGCCUGCCAACUUGGUUUUUGCAAGUGCGCUUUUUUUUUUUUUAAGGAACAUUUUUCUUUUAGACAUCUGCUGCCUGAUUUAUCAGAAGCACCUUUUUAAUCCAUCAAAUGCUUGAAGUUGAUUGAUCAAAAGGUUUUAAGUUGAUUAAUCUGAUUCAUCAGUUAAACUUUGCAGCCUUAUUUUUUUUUAACCAGUUCCCUUUUCGACCUUCCAAAUAAUUUGUUAGAGUGAGAUAUGAUAAAUACGAUUUCUUUUUAAAACCUAAUGUAAAAUCAAAAAUCUGUUUUUCAUUUUUAACGCCCCUUCCAUCAGUUUUUUUCAUCCUGGUGAAGUUACUCUUGUCCCUUUUUUCUGGUAGGUCCUCUCUGUUGAUUACAGCUAAUGACAGGCAUAAAGGAAUGUAAUAAUAUUAGUAGAAAAAAUGCCUAGUUUAAAGUUUUCUACUUCACUACCUCUCCGGGCUUUACAUGUUGAAUUUCUACCUGCCUUGCAGUUGUAGAGCCCUGCCAUAUAAAAGCUGGCAACCUUAAAAGUGAAGGUCUUCAGGUUCAAUAAUACUUCCUGAUUUGUCUUGAAAGAUCUGAAUGUGAAAAUAAAGAAAUAAAGAAAUAGGGAAGGGUGUGUUGCAACAUUGCUACUAGUUUCUCUCUGCUAGCAUCUCUCCCACUCUUGUUGGAACCUCCUCCCCACCCUCUACUAAUUUCCAUCUCCUCUAUAAUUCUCUUUCAUUCAUAACCAGCUGCUGUUUAUGACCGCUGGUUGUGUUAUUUUUAGCUGCAGAGACAGGCUAAACACAAAGGAAGCACAUGCAGAUUAAUAAGCAGGAUGGGACUGAGGCCCAGCUAGCACCUAACACAGCAGAUUGCAAGGCUUGCUUGGCACCCAGUAUUUGAGCCCUCUUUUGGGUUGCCAAUGGUUCUCACUGGCCCAGCUCCCUUGCCUUUUAACUGCAGCCUGACAUGCAGAUAGGUUAGCAAGUUAGAAGCUUCUCUUGGCAUGCAGAUAAAGUAAGGAGCAAGGCGUGGAUCUGCCAAACUUCUCUGACUGACUGUGCAGUUGCUAAAAGCACAGGAGCAGAGCCAAAAAGAAGUUGGCAACCCAAGCUUUUGCGCUGUGGGUUAAACCACAGAGCCUAGGACUUGCCGAUCAGAAGGUUGGCGGUUCGAAUCCCUGCGACGGGGUGAGCUCCCGUUGCUCGGUCCCUGCUCCUGCCAACCUAGCAGUUCGAAAGCACGUCAAAGUGCAAGUAGAUAAAUAGGUAUCGCUCUGGCGGGAAGGUAAACGGCGUUUCCGUGCGCUGCUCUGGUUUGCCAGAAGCGGCUUUGUCAUGCUGGCCACAUGACCUGGAAGCUGUACGCCGGCUCCCUCAGCCAAUAAAGCGAGAUGAGCGCCACAACCCCAGAGUUGGCCACGACUGGACCUAAUGGUCAGGGGUCCCCUUUACCUUUACCUUUUAUCCUCUAACAGUCUCAAAAAUUUGGAGAUGCUUGUAACAUCUCAAUGUUCAGACCAGCGGCCGCUGCCUGAACAUCCCCUCUCACUAUUACCACACACUGCUGAAGUUUGCCUUCUGAGGAUGACUGAUCCAAGAUGUAAUUUAUAAAGCAAGCAUGGGCAAACUCCAGUCUUGUGGGAUGUAUUAUGAUGAGUUUACUAGAACUCUGCCAUCCAUCAACCAAAGCCAAAUUCAAAAUGGUGGUUUGGGGUCUGAGCCAACCCCUUACUUCACCUGGUGGGCUAUAUACUGGGAUAGUCUGCGUAUACAAGUACAAAUCUCCACCUCCACCACUGCACAGCAGGGAUUCCAACAUGAACCCUCAGAAUAGUCAGCAAAGAUGCCCAAAGACCUGGAGAAAGGCAGCCAGUUGGGUGGACAGUGUCAUUAUACAGUUUCGUCACAAGGUGGCAGUUCUAGGUCAGUCAUUUCCUGUUCCGUUUUUCUUGGAAAGAGACAAUAAAGUUUUUGUCUUGCUUCCUGAUUGGUGUGUCCUGUAAGCCUUCCAGAAAAAUUGCAUAUAUUUAACACCUGAAGAACACAGUGAAAUUAAACGAUGGCGCACUUAGCAUGAACAUUUUUUUUUAAAAAAAGAAUUACUAUUGUUAAUAGCAUGAAAUCCUUGACUAACUUACUAAAAAACACCAGUAGUUAUCAAUUAAACUUUAGUCCUUCACUGUUCUGCAGACUCUGGAGAGGGAAGUCUGUCAGUCAGUCAGUCAGUCAGUCAGUCAGUCAGGGUUUUUCUUUCUUUAAAGAAUUCAAUAAUUUAAAUUUAGACAUACACAAAUAUAUGAAUACACAUACAUAUCUUACUAUAUAAUAAUUUUUGUAAGUCAUCAUGCUGCAGUUCUCCUGGCUGCCAAUAGGUGGCCAAGCCAACUGCAGCAUGAAGAUAGAACAGCAGGCAGGACUAUGCAGGCAGGCAGACAGGCAGGCAGGAGAGAGAGCCACUUGGAUGGCAGGUGACCCAGAUGAGCCACAGAGGAACAGUCAGGACAGGAAAGCAACUGUCUUACAGUGUGCACUUGCACUUGACACUGACAUCAGAGACCAAGGAGGAAGAAAAUGAUGGGACAGUCCUUUUCAUUCCCCUCUCUCCCAUGAGUGGCAGUGACCUAUCCCCACCACCCACAGCUGGGUCCAACUCCCCUCUCACAGUUUGCCCCGAGCUCUUCCAUCCCCUCACAGUUUGCCCCUAUCCCAAUAUCCCCCUUCUCUCUCCCCUGAGGGUGGAGGCAGCAAUUGGGAUCCUGGGAUUGGGACAAACUGUAAGGGAGGGAGAGGGGAGUUUGGGGCAUGAGAUGGAACUUGGAAAAGGUGUGAGUAGGUGCAGAUGGGGAGGUUGAAGGAACAGCGAGGGAACAGGGAGUUUGAAGGGGAUGGGGUGUAAAUGGAAGGGGGUUGGCAAAGGGGUGAAGUGGGGGUUUGGCAGGUAGGCAGGGUUGACGAGUGAUGUGAGCAGGGGUAGCAGCUCCUAGUAAUAGCAUAUGAUCUUUUUUUUUUAAAAAAGGUAUGACACGUCUAUCAUUAUCAAUGUUAACAAGUGUUAACUAUUUUGAUAAAUCACAUGGGGGAAUUGCACUCCUCAAUAUUUACAUUGUAAUUGUUUUUCACAAAUUAAAUUUAUGAAGCCAUUUGCCUCUUUAAAAAGCCUAUCGUAUCUUGAUUGGACGAAAUGUGUAAGAUGAUGCUUCUCGCCUACCUUCCAAAUUUUACUUAGCUGUCGGUGGUGGUAACCUAUCCUUUCUGUGCUAUUAACACGAAGUGGCCAGAGAAUAUAAAACCCACAAAAACUCUUUACACUAGAUUCGUUUCCUUAAAUGUCCUCAGAAGAUCAGUGGGGCAUCAUCUAAAGGUGUAGAGUAAUGGUUUGUCCAAGGAGUUACAGUCGUACCUCGGAAGUCGAACAGAAUCCCAAUCUACUUCCAAAACGUUCGGAAACCAAGGUGCGGCUUCCGAUUGGCUGCAGGAAGCUCCUGCAGCCAAUCAGAAGCCAGGGAAGCCCUGUUGGAUGUUCAGCUUCCAAAGAAAGUUUGCAAACCGGAACACACACUGCCGGGGUUGCUGUGUUCGACGUGGAGCACCCCCAUGCCAUGGAUACCCCUGUGGCUUGCCAAAGAGAAGAGGUUUUAACUGCUGUUUUUCCCUUGUAUAGAAUUCAGAUGUGGAAGCCGAGCCUGCCUCUCUUCAGAUCUUCCUCGCACAGUUGACAGUAACGAGCCGCACUGAAACAGCUUCCUCGCAACUGUGCAAAUAGAAUUAGUGCAUCUAAACAGGAAAUGGUGGUGCAGUCGGUCGGCUGAAACAACAUCCUGGAGCUUCACCAAACUGCCACAUGCUAGCUACAGCUUUCAUUGUAGGGACUAAAGAAAACCCAUGGGGGAGAGGGAGAGAGAGAGAGAGAGAGAGAGAGAGAGAGAGAGAGUCAUUGCUGCUGAAAUGGAUUUUUUUUUUGUGGGUGAGUGGGUAAAGGAAAGGGGUUUCAGUUCGGAGAAAAUGCUAAUUCCUACCAAGGAAAUGUGGGCACGAUUCGCUUUACUGACUUUCUGCUUGAGUCAGGUUCCCUGACAAGGACUGUGCCAAAAAUGGGGCAAAAGAGGAUGCAGAUUCACCUAAAUUUUGCAUAUGAUGAUUUGCAUCAAAACAGGCAAUCUUAGAAAUAAAUACCAUGAUUUAAAAACA